rnacentral:rRNA from 1 species
CGUAGGCGGCGCCGUAAGUCAGAGGUGAAAUCCCGGAGCUCAACUCCGGGACUGCACUUGAAACUGCAGGGCUAGAAUCUUGGAGAGGAGAGUGGAAUUCCGAGUGUAGAGGUGAAAUUCGUAGAUAUUCGGAAGAACACCAGUGGCGAAGGCGACUCGCUGGACAAGUAUUGACGCUGAGGUGCGAAAGCGUGGGGAGCAAACA